CAGUCGCCGCGGUAAUACGAGGGGGGCAAGCGUUGUUCGGAAUUAUUGGGCGUAAAGGGCGCGUAGGCGGUUUGACAAGUUUGGUGUGAAAUCUAUGGGCUCAACCCAUAGCCUGCAUCGAAAACUGUCGGGCUUGAGUAUGGGAGAGGUGAGUGGAAUUUCCGGUGUAGCGGUGAAAUGCGUAGAUAUCGGAAGGAACACCUGUGGCGAAAGCGGCUCACUGGACCAUUACUGACGCUGAGGCGCGAAAGCUAGGGGAGCAAACAGGAUUAGAUACCCGCGUAGUCCCUGUCUCUUAUAC
rnacentral:rRNA from 1 species